rnacentral:rRNA from 1 species
UUAAGCGACUAAGCGUACACGGUGGAUGCCUAGGCAGUCAGAGGCGAUGAAGGGCGUGCUAAUCUGCGAAAAGCGUCGGUAAGGUGAUAUGAACCGUUAUAACCGACGAUACCCGAAUGGGGAAACCCAGUGCAAUUCGUUGCACUAUUGCAUGGUGAAUACAUAGCCAUGCAAGGCGAACCGGGGGAACUGAAACAUCUAAGUACCCCGAGGAAAAGAAAUCAACCGAGAUUCCCCCAGUAGCGGCGAGCGAACGGGGAGGAGCCCAGAACCUGAAUCAGCAUAUGUGUUAGUGGAAGCGUCUGGAAAGUCGCACGGUACAGGGUGAUAGUCCCGUACACAAAAAUGCAUAUGUUGUGAGUUCGAUGAGUAGGGCGGGACACGUGACAUCCUGUCUGAAUAUGGGGGGACCAUCCUCCAAGGCUAAAUACUCCUGACUGACCGAUAGUGAACCAGUACCGUGAGGGAAAGGCGAAAAGAACCCCGGCGAGGGGAGUGAAAUAGAACCUGAAACCGUGUACGUACAAGCAGUGGGAGCACCUUCGUGGUGUGACUGCGUACCUUUUGUAUAAUGGGUCAGCGACUUAUAUUUUGUAGCAAGGUUAACCGAAUAGGGGAGCCGUAGGGAAACCGAGUCUUAACUGGGCGAAUAGUUGCAAGGUAUAGACCCGAAACCCGGUGAUCUAGCCAUGGGCAGGUUGAAGGUUGGGUAACACUAACUGGAGGACCGAACCGACUAAUGUUGAAAAAUUAGCGGAUGACUUGUGGCUGGGGGUGAAAGGCCAAUCAAACCGGGAGAUAGCUGGUUCUCCCCGAAAGCUAUUUAGGUAGCGCCUCGUGAACUCAUCUUCGGGGGUAGAGCACUGUUUCGGCUAGGGGGUCAUCCCGACUUACCAAACCGAUGCAAACUCCGAAUACCGAAGAAUGUUAUCACGGGAGACACACGGCGGGUGCUAACGUCCGUCGUGAAGAGGGAAACAACCCAGACCGCCAGCUAAGGUCCCAAAGUCAUGGUUAAGUGGGAAACGAUGUGGGAAGGCAUAGACAGCCAGGAUGUUGGCUUAGAAGCAGCCAUCAUUUAAAGAAAGCGUAAUAGCUCACUGGUCGAGUCGGCCUGCGCGGAAGAUGUAACGGGGCUAAACCAUGCACCGAAGCUGCGGCAGCGACGCUUAGGCGUUGUUGGGUAGGGGAGCGUUCUGUAAGCCGUUGAAGGUGACCUGUGAGGGUUGCUGGAGGUAUCAGAAGUGCGAAUGCUGACAUAAGUAACGAUAAUGCGGGUGAAAAACCCGCACGCCGGAAGACCAAGGGUUCCUGUCCAACGUUAAUCGGGGCAGGGUGAGUCGACCCCUAAGGCGAGGCUGAAAAGCGUAGUCGAUGGGAAACAGGUUAAUAUUCCUGUACUUGGUGUUACUGCGAAGGGGGGACGGAGAAGGCUAGGCUAGCCGGGCGACGGUUGUCCCGGUUUAAGCAUGUAGGCGGAGUGACUUGGUAAAUCCGGUUGCUUAUCAACGCUGAGGUGUGAUGACGAGCCACUACGGUGGUGAAGUAGUUGAUGCCAAGCUUCCAGGAAAAGCCUCUAAGCAUCAGGUAACAUUAAAUCGUACCCCAAACCGACACAGGUGGUCAGGUAGAGAAUACUCAGGCGCUUGAGAGAACUCGGGUGAAGGAACUAGGCAAAAUGGUGCCGUAACUUCGGGAGAAGGCACGCUGGCAUUAGGUAAAGAGACUUGCUCUCGGCGCCGAAGCCAGUCGCAGAUACCAGCUGGCUGCAACUGUUUAAUAAAAACACAGCACUGUGCAAACACGAAAGUGGACGUAUACGGUGUGACGCCUGCCCGGUGCUGGAAGGUUAAUUGAUGGGGUCAGCCGCAAGGCGAAGCUCUUGAUCGAAGCCCCAGUAAACGGCGGCCGUAACUAUAACGGUCCUAAGGUAGCGAAAUUCCUUGUCGGGUAAGUUCCGACCUGCACGAAUGGCGUAAUGAUGGCCAGGCUGUCUCCACCCGAGACUCAGUGAAAUUGAACUCGCUGUGAAGAUGCAGUGUACCCGCGGCAAGACGGAAAGACCCCGUGAACCUUUACUAUAGCUUGACACUGAACAUUGAGCCUUGAUGUGUAGGAUAGGUGGGAGGCAUUGAAGUGUGGACGCCAGUCUGCAUGGAGCCAACCUUGAAAUACCACCCUUUAAUGUUUGAUGUUCUAACUCGGCCCCAUAAUCUGGGGUGAGGACAGUGUCUGGUGGGUAGUUUGACUGGGGCGGUCUCCUCCCAAAGAGUAACGGAGGAGCACGAAGGUUAGCUAAUCACGGUCGGACAUCGUGAGGUUAGUGCAAAGGCAUAAGCUAGCUUGACUGCGAGAGUGACGGCUCGAGCAGGUACGAAAGUAGGUCUUAGUGAUCCGGUGGUUCUGAAUGGAAGGGCCAUCGCUCAACGGAUAAAAGGUACUCCGGGGAUAACAGGCUGAUACCGCCCAAGAGUUCAUAUCGACGGCGGUGUUUGGCACCUCGAUGUCGGCUCAUCACAUCCUGGGGCUGAAGUAGGUCCCAAGGGUAUGGCUGUUCGCCAUUUAAAGUGGUACGCGAGCUGGGUUUAGAACGUCGUGAGACAGUUCGGUCCCUAUCUGCCGUGGGCGUUGGAAGAUUGAGAGGGGCUGCUCCUAGUACGAGAGGACCGGAGUGGACGAAUCACUGGUGUUCGGGUUGUCAUGCCAAUGGCAUUGCCCGGUAGCUAAAUUCGGAAGAGAUAACCGCUGAAAGCAUCUAAGCGGGAAACUUGCCUCGAGAUGAGUCUUCCCUGGGGCUUUAAGCCCCCUGAAGGAACGUUAAAGACUAUGACGUUGAUAGGCUGGGUGUGUAAGUGCAGCGAUGCAUUGAGCUAACCAGUACUAAUGAUCCGUGAGGCUUAACCUU